rnacentral:rRNA from 1 species
CCUACGGGCGGCAGCAGUGAGGAAUAUUGGUCAAUGGGCGCGAGCCUGAACCAGCCAAGUCGCGUGAAGGAAGACUGCCCUACGGGUUGUAAACUUCUUUUGUAAAGGAGUAAAGUGCGCCACGAGUGGCUCUGUGAAAGUACCUUAUGAAUAAGGAUCGGCUAACUCCGUGCCAGCAGCCGCGGUAAUACGGAGGAUGCGAGCGUUAUCCGGAUUUAUUGGGUUUAAAGGGGGCGCAGACGGAUGGGUAAGUCAAGUGGGAAAGUUUGGGGCUCAAACGUAGAAGAGCCGUUGAAACUGGUAGUCUAGAGUGGGGGAGAAGUAUGCGGAAUGCGUGGUGUAGCGGUGAAAUGCAUAGAUAUCACGCAGAACUCCGAUUGCGAAGGCAGCAUACCGGAGCGCAACUGACGCUCAUGCACGAAAGCGUGGGUAUCGAACAGGAUUAGAUACCCUUGUAGUC